UACAUAGGGUGCGAGCGUUGUUCGGAAUUAUUGGGCGUAAAGAGCUUGUAGGCGGUUUGUCGCGUCUGCUGUGAAAAUCCGGGGCUCAACCCCGGACUUGCAGUGGGUACGGGCAGACUAGAGUGUGGUAGGGGAGACUGGAAUUCCUGGUGUAGCGGUGAAAUGCGCAGAUAUCAGGAGGAACACCGAUGGCGAAGGCAGGUCUCUGGGCCACUACUGACGCUGAGAAGCGAAAGCAUGGGGAGCGAACAGG
rnacentral:rRNA from 1 species